rnacentral:rRNA from 1 species
UACGAAGGGGGCGAGCGUUGUUCGGAUUUACUGGGCGUAAAGGGCGCGUAGGCGGCGCAACAAGUCACUUGUGAAAUCUCCGGGCUUAACCCGGAGCGGCCAAGUGAUACUGUCGUGCUAGAGUGCGGAAGGGGCUACUGGAAUUCUCGGUGUAGCGGUGAAAUGCGUAGAUAUCGAGAGGAACACCUGCGGCGAAGGCGGGUAGCUGGGACGGUACUGACGCUGAGACGCGAAAGCGUGGGGAGCGAACAGG